rnacentral:rRNA from 1 species
GUCUUUUGGUAAGUUUAAAAAGUCCGGUCUGCCCUGGAUGAGAAUAUUAAAGGGCCGCAGUAUUUUAACUGUGCAAAGGUAGCAUAAUCACUAGUUCUUUAAUUGAGAUCUUGAAUGAAUGAUUAGACAAAAAAAUUACUGUCUUUAUAAUAAUAAUUGAAUUUAACUUUUAAGUGAAAAGGCUUAAAUAGUUUGAAGUGACGAUAAGACCCUAUAAAGCUUAAUAUUAUUAUAAAAUUUUUGGUAAGUUAAAUAUAAAGUUUUAAGGUUUAUUAAUAUUUUAUUGGGGCGAUAGAAGUAAAAGGCUUAAUAACUGCUUUUUUUUUAAUCAAGUAUAAGUGAUUAAUAURUAAAUGAUCUUAUUUUAUAGAGUAAAAGAUUAAGUUACUUUAGGGAUAACAGCGUUAUUUUUCUUGAGAGUUCUUAUCGAAAGAAAAGAUUGCGACCUCGAUGUUGAAUUAAAAUAUCUAUAUAAUUGUAGUAGUUAUAUGAGAAGGUCUGUUCGACCUUUAAAUUUUUACGUGAUUUGAGUUCAGACCGGMUUAAACCAGGUCGGKUUCYAUCUUUUAAUUAAAUUGWAAUUAUUUUA